rnacentral:rRNA from 1 species
UACGUAGGGGUCGAGCGUUGUCCGGAUUUACUGGGCGUAAAGAGCGCGCAGGCGGUCGUUCAAGUCGAGUGUGAAAGCCCCCGGCUCAACUGGGGAGGGUCACUCGAUACUGAUCGACUUGAAGGCAGGAGAGGGAAGCGGAAUUCCCGGUGUAGUGGUGAAAUGCGUAGAUAUCGGGAGGAACACCAGUGGCGAAGGCGGCUUCCUGGCCUGUUCUUGACGCUGAGGCGCGAAAGCUAGGGGAGCAAACGGG